rnacentral:rRNA from 1 species
UCCCAGACUCCUACGGGAGGCAGCAGUGGGGAAUAUUGCACAAUGGGGGGAACCCUGAUGCAGCGACGCCGCGUGGGUGAAGGAGUAUUUCGGUAUGUAAAGCCCUAUCAGCAGGGAAGAACAAUGACGGUACCUGACUAAGAAGCACCGGCUAAAUACGUGCCAGCAGCCGCGGUAAUACGUAUGGUGCAAGCGUUAUCCGGAUUUACUGGGUGUAAAGGGAGCGCAGGCGGCGCGUUAAGCCUGGUGUGAAAGCCCGCGGCCCAACCGCGGGACUGCAUUGGGAACUGGCGCGCUGGAGUGCCGGAGGGGUAGGCGGAAUUCCUAGUGUAGCGGUGAAAUCCGUAGAUAUUAGAAGGAACACCAAUAGCGUAGGCAGGUUGCUGGGACGGUUCUGACACUAAGGCGCGAAAGCGUAGGGAGCAAACGGGAUUAGAUACCCUGGUAAA